AAGAAAUGGAUUGCCUGUCUUCAGGCAUUGUUGAAUGUAAAAGAAACUGGGAUCAGAGAAUCGAGGAUUGUCGGAAUCAAAAGAAACUACGGUAGCACGAGUACAAGACGAGAACAUGGGUGGAGGUAAUGACGCUCAAGGCCAAGCUCGAAACACGUUGGAGACUUGCAUACACAGAUAUUGGAUAGAUUGAUAUUGGAGGUCAUUUACCUUCCACGAUGAUCUCUUUUGUGGUUGUUUUUUCUGCUGGUAAUAAUCCUAGCAAAGAGACAGUGGGAAAAACUAGCUGAUUUUUGCCAAAGCCUACCUGUAUCCUCAUCUUGGCUUCAUCAAUUUCCCCGAUUCCUACACUGUUAAUCGUUAAUGCCUCCUGAGAAUUGAUGAUUUUGACCAAGCAACGUCAAUCUGUUGUCCAGCUCUGAGGUUUUUACAAUUAUGGAAUCAUUCUCUACAACGCCUGUUCAGUUGAAUUGCUGUCCUUCAACGGAAAAGAUAUGGAAGCACGUGCUGCCACAAGCAAACCACGUUUCGCCAUAACCGUUAUUAUUGCUUGGUUAAUGGCGAAAAGCACUUUGUCUGCUUCAACAUUGCCAACAAUCAAGGCCAUUGUCUACCGAAAUAUGAUGGAUCGACUGGCUUGCCCACCGGAUCAUGACCACCCUGAACCAGCCAAUCGUGUGAACACGUCUUUACGUGUGGAAAUGUUGAGAAAGGCUAUGGCUUUGUCAAAUGUAAAUGCUUACAUCAUCACUGGUGAAGAUCAGCAUCAGCAAACUGAGAUGAUUUCACCAGAAAACGACAGACGGCAGUUUGUCUCCGGUUUUACUGGCAGUUCUGGGACAGCUGUCGUAACAGACAAACAAGCUGUUUUAUGGACAGAUGGACGUUACUAUCUUCAGGCUGAUCAACAACUGGAUUGCCAGUGGAUACUGAUGAAAUCAGGACAGGAUCAGGUGCCUGAGAUUAGCCAUUGGCUGAAGUCUGUCCUGUCACCGGGUGAUAGAGUGGGCGCCGAUCCGAAAUUGGUCAACGCCAAUCAUUGGCUGCAAUGGCGAAACGAACUCGCCGGAAGCGACAUUUGGCUGGAUGCUUUGCCAACCAAUCUCGUGGACGCAGUUUGGAAACAUGCCAAAGUCGUGAGUCCUAACAACUCGGCGUGCAGCAGCAGCAGCAGCAAUAAACCAAGCACUACGGCUUACGUUCACGACAUAGCCUACUCCGGUCAAUCGUGGCAAGACAAAGUGGACGCAGUGCGGAAUGAGCUAGUGGCACAAAAGCUGGAUGCCGUUGUAUUGACGGCCCUGGACGAGAUCGCUUGGCUGUUGAACUUGAGGGGUGGCGACGUGCCCUACAGCCCCUUGGUAGAAGGUUACGUAUAUUUAUCGCUGGAUCGCAUUGUGCUCUUUAUCCAACCGACGAAAAUGACGGAGCUGAUCUGGCAACACUUGAACGAAUGUCAAGAGGGAACUAUUUGUGUCGAAGUGAGACACUACGACAACGUCCUCAACGACUUGCCCGUUUUAACGGAGAAUGUCGACUCUGUCCUGCUGCCCUCGAACUACGCCUACAGUGGAGGAGUCAGUUUCGCUAUUUACCAAACGAUUCCUGCAGACAAGAGACGAACAUCGCCUUCGCCAUUGAUUUUAUUGAAAGCGAAGAAAAACGCCAUCGAAGUGGAGGGAAUGAAAAACGCCCAUAUGAAAGAUGCAGUGGCCCUCUGCGAUUUUCUCUCUCUUCUUGAACAACAGAUUCGUGAAGGCAAGGUGCAAUGGGACGAAUUGAAAGUCGUUCACACCUUGGACGAGUACCGCCAACAGCAGGACCUGUACCGAGGACCAAGCUUCAGCACGAUUGCUGCGUUCGGACCCAAUGGCGCAGUUAUCCAUUACAGGCCGUCGAUGGAAACCAAUCGAAUCAUUGACAAUUCUUCUUUUUUGAUCAUCGACUCUGGUGGCCAAUAUCUCGAUGGGACGACGGAUGUGACCCGUACGUUCCAUUUUGGUCGUGCGACUCAGCGUCAGAAAGAGAUUUACACUCGGGUUUUAAUGGGAGCUAUCGACCUGGCCACACUAGUUUUCCCCGACUCGAUUGCCGAUAGCCGCAUAGAUAUCAUCGCUCGUCAACACCUUUACCAGGUCGGACUGGACUACCUUCACGGAACCGGCCAUGGCAUUGGCUCAUUUCUCAACGUUCACGAAAGUCCCAUUCAAGUGAACACCAACAACAAAGAAGCUCAUCAUUUCCACGCCAACUAUUUCUUUUCUGACGAACCAGGUUAUUACUUGGCCAAUGAGUACGGCAUCCGAUUGGAAACGAUCCUUCGUGUCGUCGACGUAAACAUGACGGAGCAGCAUCCACAGGAGGAGUCUCACUAUGGCGGGAAUAGGUUUCUUGGCUUUGAGCCCGUGACUCUCGUCCCGUUCGAGCCCAAUUUGAUUCUAGCCGACGUGAUGACCUCCAAACAAAUGAAGUGGUUGAACGAUUACCACCAACUGGUCCGGCUGAACGUCGGCGCUGAGUUACAACAACGGCGAAACACAGCGUCGACCAGCAGUACAGGCGGAUGCUGGCCCUGGCUCGUCUCCAAAACUCGGCCGGUAACCUCUUCACCGUAACCGACACCUAGAAUCCCCGCCCAUCUCGUCUUUUUUAAGAGGCAACAAUUCAUUUCUAAGGCCAUUACACUUUAUCAUGUUUUUAUUUAUAGAACUAAAUGUCGUACUAUAAUUCUUAUUAUUCCACGUUACAUCAUAAUUGUUCAUGUCUAGCAAAGCUCAACUCCCAGCUGAUGAAGCAGUUCCAUGGCUGGCCGAAACAAUCGCAGAAGAAAGGAAUGUAAGGGCCUUUUACACGACAUUUUAUCUUUUCACGUAGAUGGUCUAGAAAAAUGUCAAGAUACUUGGAUUAUCUCUCGCCAAAAAAAAAAAAAAAAAUGGGUGAAGCUGCAAAACUAGUCUCGAUAGUGCGAGAUACACCUUACAAAGAGUUAUUGCUGUUGAAGUCGAGUGCAGCCUGGAGCCAAAGGUCGAUAAAUUCUCGAAAAGAAAAAAAAAAGGGGGGCAAAAGAGGCGUUGAACAUUGUAUCUGCAGAAGAAGAGGAAGAAAAUGGUAGUAGUUGUGGGGCGGAGGUGCAGGAUAUGUAGAUUGGCACGUCGAAAUGUACAAAAAAAAAAAAAAAAAAAAAGAAGAAAAGAAACAGUAAAAAAUAAAAGACAACGCCCUCCCCUAAUGUCAGUACGCACGAAACGAACACAAGAGCACAACUACCGGAGAUUAGAAAAAAAAUUGCGCAGAAAAUAUGUUGCAUCUCCCGUAAACUGGAGAUACAACGAGAACGCACGACGUCAAACAUGGCAUCUACAGCUAUGGUCCCAACCAAUAAGAAGAAAGCGCCUUUUGUUGUUUGUUCGCGAAAGGAAGUUCGCGAGACAAGCGGACACAGCAAAAAAAGAAUAAGUUUGUUAAAUUGAAACAGUCGAAAGAAAAGGCAUCUAAAUAUAGAUGUAUUUAUA